rnacentral:rRNA from 1 species
AACUUGAGUGCAGAAGAGGAGAGUGGAAUUCCACGUGUAGCGGUGAAAUGCGUAGAGAUGUGGAGGAACACCAGUGGCGAAGGCGACUCUCUGGUCUGUAACUGACGCUGAGGAGCGAAAGCGUGGGGAGCGAACAGGAUUAGAUACCCUGGUAGUCCACGCCGUAAACGAUGAGUGCUAAGUGUUAGGGGGUUUCCGCCCCUUAGUGCUGCAGCUAACGCAUUAAGCACUCCGCCUGGGGAGUACGGUCGCAAGACUGAAACUCAAAGGAAUUGACGGGGGCCCGCACAAGCGGUGGAGCAUGUGGUUUAAUUCGAAGCAACGCGAAGAACCUUACCAGGUCUUGACAUCCUCUGACAAUCCUAGAGAUAGGRCKUCCCCUUCGGGGGCAGAGUGACAGGUGGUGCAUGGUUGUCGUCAGCUCGUGUCGUGAGAUGUUGGGUUAAGUCCCGCAACGAGCGCAACCCUUGAUCUUAGUUGCCAGCAUUYAGUUGGGCACUCUAAGGUGACUGCCGGUGACAAACCGGAGGAAGGUGGGGAUGACGUCAAAUCAUCAUGCCCCUUAUGACCUGGGCUACACACGUGCUACAAUGGGCAGAACAAAGGGCAGC